rnacentral:rRNA from 1 species
GAAUAUUGGACAAUGGGCGAAAGCCUGAUCCAGCCAUGCCGCGUGUGUGAAGAAGGUCUUCGGCUUGUAAAGCACUUUAAGUUGGGAGGACGGGCAGUACGCGCAUACCUUGCUGUUUUGACGUUACUGACAGAAUAAGCACCGGUCCACCCUGUGCCAGCAGCCGCGGUAAUCCAGAGGGUGCAAGCGUUACUCGGAAUUACUGGGCGUAAAGCGCGCGUAGGUGGUUCGUUAAGUUGGAUGUGAAAUCCCCGGGCUCAACCUGGGAACUGCAUCCAAAACUGGCGAGCUAGAGUAGGGCAGAGGGUGGUGGAAUUUCCUGUGUAGCGGUGAAAUGCGUAGAUAUAGGAAGGAACACCAGUGGCGAAGGCGACCACCUGGGCUCAUACUGACACUGAGGUGCGAAAGCGUGGGGAGCAAACA